AGCUCAGUAUGGAUAGAGCAGUCCGCCAAACGGCGGAUUGGUCGGAGGUUCGAGUCCUCUCGGGG
rnacentral:tRNA from 1 species